rnacentral:rRNA from 1 species
GGACAUCACUCGCAGAAGAAGCACCGGCUAACUCCGUGCCAGCAGCCGCGGUAAUACGGAGGGUGCAAGCGUUAAUCGGAAUUACUGGGCGUAAAGCGCGCGUAGGCGGCUGAUAAGCCGGUUGUGAAAGCCCCGGGCUCAACCUGGGAACGGCAUCCGGAACUGUCAGGCUAGAGUGCAGGAGAGGAAGGUAGAAUUCCCGGUGUAGCGGUGAAAUGCGUAGAGAUCGGGAGGAAUACCAGUGGCGAAGGCGGCCUUCUGGACUGACACUGACGCUGAGGUGCGAAAGCGUGGGUAGCAAACAGGAUUAGAUACCCUGGUAGUCCACGCCGUAAACGAUGUCGACUAGCCGUUGGGGUCCUCGAGACCUUUGUGGCGCAGUUAACGCGAUAAGUCGACCGCCUGGGGAGUACGGCCGCAAGGUUAAAACUCAAAUGAAUUGACGGGGGCCCGCACAAGCGGUGGAGCAUGUGGUUUAAUUCGAUGCAACGCGAAGAACCUUACCUACUCUUGACAUCGAGCGAACUUUCCAGAGAUGGAUUGGUGCCUUCGGGAACGCUCAGACAGGUGCUGCAUGGCCGUCGUCAGCUCGUGUUGUGAAAUGUUGGGUUAAGUCCCGUAACGAGCGCAACCCUUGUCCCUAUUUGCCAGCGAUUCGGUCGGGAACUCUAGGGAGACUGCCGGUGACAAACCGGAGGAAGGUGGGGACGACGUCAGGUCAUCAUGGCCCUUACGAGUAGGGCUACACACGUGCUACAAUGGCCGGUACAAUGGGCUGCAAUCCCGCGAGGGGGAGCUAAUCUCAUAAAGCCGGUCUCAGUCCGGAUCGGAGUCUGCAACUCGACUCCGUGAAGUCGGAAUCGCUAGUAAUCGUGCAUCAGAAUGGCACGGUGAAUACGUUCCCGGGCCUUGUACACACCGCCCGUCACACCAUGGGAGUGGACUGCACCAGAAGUGGUUAGCCUAACUUCGGAGGGCGAUCACCACGUUGCUCAUUC